ACAGAUCUGUCAGGAUUUUCCAUAACAUGGAUUAACGGGACUUCUUACAUCGCAUUUGUGAAGAAGCACAGAAUGUCAUUUUUGUAAUGUCGAUUUCAAAGAGGGGAUUGUCAUUGGAGAUUAAAUUUGGCCACUGCUUCAAAUUUGGCAUUAGUACUGGAGAUGAAGUUCAAUGUCAGCUUUCAAGGUGGAGUGAUGUCGUUUAAUGAUGGUGGUCCUUCAUUUAAAUCCCAAGCCCAGAUUCUCAAAGGUCCAUUU